rnacentral:misc_RNA from 1 species
GAUGAAGAACGUAGCGAAAUGCGAUAAGUAAUGUGAAUUGCAGAAUUCAGUGAAUCAUCGAAUCUUUGAACGCACAUUGCGCCCGCCAGUAUUCUGGCGGGCAUGCCUGUUCGAGCGUCAUUACAACCCUCAGGCCCCCGGGCCUGGCGUUGGGGAUCGGCAGAAGCCCCCUGUGGGCACACGCCGUCCCUCAAAUACCGUGGCGGUCCCGCCGCAGCUUCCAUUGCGUAGUAGCUAACACCUCGCAACUGGAGAGCGGCGCGGCCAUGCCGUAAAACACCCAACUUCUGAAUGUUGACCUCGAAUCAGGUAGGAAUACCCGCUGAACUUAAGCAUAUCAAUAAGCGGAGGA